UACGUAGGCAGCAAGCGUUGUUCGGAGUUACUGGGCGUAAAGCGCGCGCAGGCGGUCCUUUAAGUCUGAUGUGAAAGCCCACGGCUCAACCGUGGAGGGUCAUUGGAAACUGGAGAACUUGAGUACAGAAGAGGAUAGCGGAAUUCCACGUGUAGCGGUGAAAUGCGUAGAGAUGUGGAGGAACACCAGUGGCGAAGGCGGCUUUCUGGUCUGUAACUGACGCUGAGGCGCGAAAGCGUGGGGAGCAAACAGG
rnacentral:rRNA from 1 species